GACGGAGGAUGCAAGUGUUAUCCGGAAUCACUGGGCGUAAAGCGUCUGUAGGUGGUCAAAUAAGUCAACUGUUAAAUCUUGAGGCUCAACCUCAAAAUCGCAGUCGAAACUAUUAGGCUAGAGUAUAGUAGGGGUAAAGGGAAUUUCCAGUGGAGCGGUGAAAUGCGUAGAGAUUGGAGAGAACACCGAUGGCGAAGGCACUUUACUGGGCUAUUACUAACACUCAGAGACGAAAGCUAGGGUAGCAAAUGGG
rnacentral:rRNA from 1 species